UGGCGCGGAAACGUGACCUGACCUAGAAAAGGUUUGCUUGGCUUGAUCUUGGGUCGCUCCUGUUUUGUUGCUUGGUAUGAUGGGUUUCCGCUUUGGCCGGUUUCCAAGCUUGGAUCUUUCUUAUGGGUUUCCGGUUUCGUGAAAGAAAUGGAAGGUUGAUUGGACCUGAUGAUGAAAUAGCACAAGAUGGUGCACCAAAGGAUUUGUUUUCCGAUUUGGUUCUGCUACUUUCCUAAAAGUUUCUUUCUCGCUAGGGACCUGUGGACUGGACUAUUUUGAUGUUAUGAAAAUGGAUCAGGCCUCUAACAAUGAGAUCUUUUUUUGCUUGCACCAGAAAAAGAAGCCAGCAAAUGAUCUGCGAAAUGAACUCGCUUCGUCCUUCUCUGCUUCUCUAUAAUAAGAAAUCUCUUUCUUUACUUCAACCUUAGCUUAAAUCUUCAGCUGCUAGGCCAGAAAUCACACACAAAAAAGAAAACUUUUUUUUUUCCCCCCGUUCCUUGUGCUUUUCACCAGCUCUACUCGACGGAGAUUUACAUGUGGAUCUUUCUGGGAAAGAGCAAUUUAAGAUGUUAUAGUCGAUGUUGUUCUUAUGGCUAUGGUUUAAGUUAAGAGAAACGUUUAGCCGAAAAGAAAGUCCAGGUUUUCUCUUUGGAUUUUCUACGUAUUAUUACCCUUCCACAUGUUUAGGGUUUCCUUCCGUGUUGUUUGAUUCUGAUUCAAGACUAUUCAAGUACAGAUCGGUAGUUAAGGUUCCAUCACAGCGUCACUGUAGCGAAGAAUUUAGGGUUUUAGCUCUUCCUACAAAGAAACCGCCUCAUCUAUCAUUCUGCUGAAGAAGUCAUGGCUUUUGAGGCAAACUAAUCAUCUUCUUGUCCUUUGGUUUUCCGGAUUCCUCCUUGCCGUUCAUAUAUACAUAGCAACAGUUAAUCACACAAUUGUUCUGAAGAAACUAGGGUUUUUUGUUCUCUUAGAUCCGUGCUGCAAGCCAUCCGCACAUUCACAUCUCUAUGCCCUUACAGCUCUUCUGGAAAUCGUCUCUCUUUUUUCUGGUCCUUUGCUGUCUAGAUUUCAGCGUUUGGAACCAGGCAGCAGUAACCCUUUGGUAAAAGCUUGUGCUUUCGAAUUGUAUGCAUGGCUUCGCCGCAGAAUUUCUUUUCCUGAUUUGAUUGCUACUUUUCGCAGCAUUUAUUACUGUAUUCUUAUUUCAAGGUUGUGUUUUGUAAUUCGAAAUUUCGGAAGCCAUAUUAUAUGUUAGCCAGUUUUGAGAAUUUUGAUGAAUAAAAUAAACUAUCUACAUCAACUUAUAAUAUUUUUUUCCCCAAAAGUUAAAAUCUUUGACGCAACAACAAUUAUACACAGCUUUUCUCGAUUUUUGGGAAGUAAUUCACUGUAGGACUUCCAAAUGAUGCUUCAUUCUAUCUCCUGUUCAUCAUCUUGGAUUUCAGCCAAUAUAGUAGUAUCUCAAAAAGAACAAAAAGAAAAACUUCUUUGAGAAUGAAAAUUUUAUCCAAUAAAAUCUUGAGUUUCAUGUAAAUUUUCAUCAUACAAAUGGAUACCGCCUUGUUUUUCUUGUCUUCUUGUAGUUUUUCAAAUAUGAUGCACUUGGCAAUCCGUUUCCUCACCUUUUUUAGAAUCAGAGAACUAAUUUGAAGUUACUGCUUAUCCUCAAUAGUAACUAACUCAAACACCAUCUAAAAGUUAGGUUGAGAUCCUGUUCAUAGUUUCUAAUGGCCUCAAAGUGUUCUGUGACUAUGCCAGGAUCAGUAGAUUAAAUUGUAGUGCAAUAAUAGGCCUAGAUGAAGAACUGGGAGAAAGAUAUAUAUUCUCAAUUAUGUUAUUGAUUGAAUUGAUUUUUCACAUCUUUACCAAAUCUUAUGCAUUUACCAAUCUGUUUCCUCCCCCCUUUUUUUUUAAUCAAAGAACUAAUUUGAAGUUGCUGCCUGUCCUCAAUAGUGACUGCUCAUACACCAUCUCAAAGUUAGUUUGAGAUCAUGUUCAUAGUUUCUAAUGGCCUUAAAAUGUUCUGUGAUCAUGCCGGGAUCAUUGGAAUAAAUUGUAAUGCUAUAGUAGGCCUAGAUGAAGACAUAUUUCUGAAAAUUAUACUAUAGAUUGAAUCGAUUUUUUCAUAUCUUUUAAUUUCCAUUUGAAGAAUACAUAUGAUCAAUAUGUAAAUGCUAUAAUCGCUGCAUACUGAAGAGAAUAACAAAACAAGUAAAGAUAAAAAAUCAUUAACCACAACUAUCUACUCUUUUUAAGAAGCUAAUUCAAUCUUUAUAAAUGAGUUCACUUUUUUUAAAAACCAUUUUAGAGUUUUUAGAUCCCCACACUUGCAGUUGAGUUGUAUGAACACCAAAUCAUUGGCUGGUUUGAGGAAUCCAUAUAUCGAUGUCUUGCAAAUCUUUGAGAUAUUAUUUACAGAAAGAGAGAAGAGUCGAGAAACUUUCACCUUUUAUCAUGAUAAGAAUAUGAAGGGAGAAAAUAUAUGACCAUUGAAAAUCUGAGAGUAAAAAAUGAUGAAUGGAUGAGAGAAUAAUGCAAUAUUUUACUCAUUUUGCAACUUCGUAUUCACUAAAAAUUAAACAUGUAGCUACAUUCUUUUAAACAAUAAAUAUUAUGGGAAACUUUAUGUUUUUCAUUUGCAAAUCAUUCUUUUAAGUUUUGACAAAGUACAAAAGUUUCAUUAGUAGCUGACUCUAUUUUCUUUUCCUUUUUGAUUGUGGCUACUGAAUUUUUUUUUCCAUAACGGAAAAUGCAUAUUUUAGUAUUUGAUUGUUUUAAGUUGAACAAAUGAUCACAACCAACCAU